rnacentral:rRNA from 1 species
GAUGAACGCUGGCGGCGUGCCUAAUACAUGCAAGUCGAGCGAACAGACGAGGAGCUUGCUCCUCUGACGUUAGCGGCGGACGGGUGAGUAACACGUGGAUAACCUACCUAUAAGACUGGGAUAACUUCGGGAAACCGGAGCUAAUACCGGAUAAUAUAUUGAACCGCAUGGUUCAAUAGUGAAAGACGGUUUUGCUGUCACUUAUAGAUGGAUCCGCGCCGCAUUAGCUAGUUGGUAAGGUAACGGCUUACCAAGGCGACGAUGCGUAGCCGACCUGAGAGGGUGAUCGGCCACACGGGAACUGAGACACGGUCCAGACUCCUAUGGGAGGCAGCAGUAGGGAAUCUUCCGCAAUGGGCGAAAGCCUGACGGAGCAACGCCGCGUGAGUGAUGAAGGUCUUCGGAUCGUAAAACUCUGUUAUUAGGGAAGAACAAAUGUGUAAGUAACUAUGCACGUCUUGACGGUACCUAAUCAGAAAGCCACGGCUAACUACGUG